GACGAACGCUGGCGGCGUGCUUAACACAUGCAAGUCGAACGGAAAGGCCCUGCUUUUGUGGGGUGCUCGAGUGGCGAACGGGUGAGUAACACGGGAGUAACCUGCCCUUGACUUUGGGAUAACUUCAGGAAACUGGGGCUAAUACAGGCUAGGAGCUCCUGCUGCAUGGUGGGGGUUGGAAAGUUUCGGCGGUUGUGGAUGGACGCGCGGCUUAUCAGCUUGUUGGUGGGGUAGUGGCUUACCAAGGCUUUGACGGGUGGGCGGCCUGGGAGGGUGGACGGCGACAUUGGGACUGAGGUAGGGCGCAGUCUGCUACGGUAGGCAGUAGUGGGAAAUAUUGCACAAUGGGCGGAAGCCUGAUGCAGCGACGCCGCGUUCGUGAUGACGGCUUUCGGGUUGGAAACCGCUUUCGCCUGUGACGAAGCGUGAGUGACGGUAAUGGGUAAAGAAGCACCGGCUAACUACGUG
rnacentral:rRNA from 1 species